rnacentral:rRNA from 1 species
AUUGCACGCUGGCGGCAGGCCUAACACAUGCAAGUCGAACGAGUGGCGGACGGGUGAGUAAUGUCUGGGAAACUGCCCGAUGGAGGGGGAUAACUACUGGAAACGGUAGCUAAUACCGCAUACCAUCGGAUGUGCCCAGAUGGGAUGAGCUAGUAGGUGGGGUAACGGCUCACCUAGGCGCCGAUCCCUAGCUGGUCUGAGAGGAUGACCCGCCACACUGGAACUGAGACACGGUCCAGACUCCUACGGGAGGCAGUAGUGGGGAAGAUUGCACAAUGGGAGCAAGCCUGAUGCAGCCAUUCCGCGUGGAUGAAGAAGGCCUUCGGGUUGUAAAGUACUUUCAGCGAGGAGGCGUUACUCGCAGAAUAAGCACCGGCUAACUCCGUGCCAGCAGCCGCGGUAAUAC